AACGAACGCUGGCGGCAUGCCUAACACAUGCAAGUCGAACGAGACCUUCGGGUCUAGUGGCGCACGGGUGCGUAACGCGUGGGAACCUGCCCUUAGGUUCGGAAUAACUCCCCGAAAGGGGUGCUAAUACCGGAUAAUGUCUUCGGACCAAAGAUUUAUCGCCUUUGGAUGGGCCCGCGUUGGAUUAGCUAGUUGGUAGGGUAAAAGCCUACCAAGGCGACGAUCCAUAGCUGGUCUGAGAGGAUGAUCAGCCACUCUGGGACUGAGACACGGCCCAGACUCCUACGGGAGGCAGCAGUGGGGAAUAUUGGACAAUGGGCGAAAGCCUGAUUCAGCAAUGCCGCGUGAGUGAUGAAGGCCUUAGGGUUGUAAAGCUCUUUUACCCGGGAUGAUAAUGACAGUACCGGGAGAAUAAGCACCGGCUAACUCCGUG
rnacentral:rRNA from 1 species